rnacentral:lncRNA from 1 species
AUUAAAGGAUGAGCGACUACAAGGAGUAGACAUAGGUAGUCCUAGCUAACGUUCUUCUAGACUCACUGGCCUGCCAUCACCAGACAGGACUUCAGGUGGUACGGUCUGCUCCGAAAGGUGAAAGAGACCUAAAGACAUACACCCCAAAGUGACCUCCAAAGAAACAGUCGCAGAAGAAGAGUCAAUCAUGGACAUCUGACACCAAACUGGAGAAGUCACCUCAGGCCAUUUGCAGAAGAAGAUGUGCUGAAAACACCUGAUAGGCUAUAAAUUCAAUGUUGUACAUCCACAAAUCUAUUCCAAAACUGCAAUUGAACAUUAAGAAUGACUCUGGCCUUCACUUAAUGGUAAGUCCUAUGAAAUCAAUUAGCUGUUAAAAUAGUUUAAUUGGAACAUAUGUAUUUUAAUUUUUGUUUGUGGAUUAAAAAAAAGUCUUCUUAAUCAACCCAAAACAUUCUGAAAUUGCACUUCUAGGUAAUGUAGUGAAAGAA